rnacentral:rRNA from 1 species
GACGAACGCUGGCGGCAUGCCUAAUACAUGCAAGUCGAGCGAACAGACGAAGUGCUUGCACUUCUGACGUUAGCGGCGAACGGGUGAGUAACACGUAAGGAAUCUACCUAUAAGCGGGGGAUAACAUUCGGAAACGGGUGCUAAUACCGCAUAAUAUCUUCUUCCGCAUGGAAGAAGAUUGAAAGACGGCUCUGCUGUCACUUAUAGGUGACCUUGCGGUGCAUUAGUUAGUUGGUGGGGUAACGGCCUACCAAGACGAUGAUGCAUAGCCGACCUGAGAGGGUGAUCGGCCACAUUGGGACUGAGACACGGCCCAAACUCCUACGGGAGGCAACAGUAGGGAAUCUUCCGCAAUGGGCGAAAGCCUGACGGAGCAAUGCCGCGUGAGUGAAGAAGGCCUUCGGGUCGUAAAACUCUGUUAUAAGAGAAGAACAAAUUGUAGAGUAACUGCUACAGUCUUGACGGUAUCUUAUCAGAAAGCCACGGCUAACUACGUGCCAGCAGCCGCGGUAA